CCUGCCAACUCUGCUGCACCAAACAAUGCAAAAAGUGCAACAACAAGUACCAGGAAAAAUAGCAAAAACAGGAAAGAUAAUAUUUGCUUGAAAUUCAAUAUUUGCUUUAUGGUUUUUAUUGUGUUUUAUUGCUGUUCCUCGGCCGAGUGAUGCGCAAAGUAUCGGUUAAAGUGAAAUACAACUUUUCCAAGUGAUCUGUGACCAGCUCGGCGGCUCUCGGAUCCCAUCUUAUUUAUCUCUCCGAAUGAGCUACCAACUGUGUUGACAUUGUGUUUUAUUAUUAUUGUUAUUGUUAUCCAUGGUUGGUGUUGCUGCUGCUGCCACCGCUCGUGUGUGGCUUAAUUUGCGGUUAAUUAUGCAAUUAAUUAUUAACGGGGCGUUGCAUUUUGCAUUUUUCCACACCUUCAGAAUUUUUCUCGGUUUCAAUUUCGCUUUAUUUAUAGACAACAUUUGAUGACAACACGUUGGGAUAUACAUAACUACCCUUUCUUGGCCUGUAAUAUUCAAGUAGGCGUAUCAAAACCAGAGCCCUUGAAAAAUAUGAUCCAUGAAUAUGGUAAGCGAGAGCAACAACACUUUAAUUGGACGGUGUUCUGCGUUUAGUGAUUUGUCAAAAGUGUCGCCGGUUUCCCAUCCCUCAUCAUCAAUUAUGCCAUGUCCGACCAUCAAGUGGCCAACAAGAAUUUGGGCGGGAAACUUCAUUAAGCGGCGUCUCCUUGGACAUCCGCAAUACGCACUUUUCCAGCAUAAACGAAAGAGAUGAGUACACCCAAAAAAAAAGGGAGAAUGAGCAAAGAAUAUACAUUUGUUCGUAUUUACAAAAUUUUGAUCUACAUUUAUGUACAAAAUAUUGUAACCUUGUAUUUCAGGGGAUAAAUUAGAACAAAAACGUUCUCUAUUUAAAAAUA